AAAGAUGCAGCCGACUUGAUUGUGGUGGAUGAGCUUUUUGAUGUGCUGCUGGAUUCUGUUUGCUAGUAUUCUAUUAAGAAUUUUUGCAUUGAUGUUCAUCAGGGAUAUUGGCCUGGAUUGAGCAGCUUGACUACCACACAAAUUAAUCCACUCAAAUGUUGGCAAGUGGAGCAGAGUCCCAGGACAGGUACAGAAACACCCCCAGUUCAAGGAUCUUCACACCUGGAUUUAGGCCUACACCUGCAACUACCCCAGAUGGAGCCAUCUCAGCCAUGACAACAGAGAAUGUACCACUCUCACGUGAGGAAGAGGGGUAGGCAGUGCUCCUGUAUCACCAGCUGUUAAUGAGACCCUGAGGAAACCACAUCAUGGAGAUCAGCCCUUCUCUCCUGCCAGUUAUCCAGGCAGUGACUUUCUGUACAGCUACAGUCACCUCUGGACACCUGCGGAGACUUUAAAAAUUUCCAGAAGGUCAGGAAUUUUUGGAGACCUUUCUUAUGGCUACGUUGCCUGCAAAGGUGAAUCAAUAAGCUUCUGAACUGACUUAGAAAAUGUUGCAGAGACUCUUGUGAACAGAUAGACCCUCUCCUGCCACUCCAGAUAGACGUAUCCGGGUCACACACACCUGAUUUAACAACAUCUCAUUAUCUCAGAGUCUCACUCUGUCACCCAGGCUAGAGUGCAAUGGCAUGAUCUCGGCUCACUACCACCUCCGCCUCCAGGG
rnacentral:lncRNA from 10 species